AACGAACGCUGGCGGCAGGCCUAACACAUGCAAGUCGAACGCAUCGCAAGAUGAGUGGCGCACGGGUGAGUAACACGUGGGAAUGUAUCCUUUGGUUCGGAAUAACGUCUGGAAACGGACGCGAAUACCGGAUGAGCCCUUAGGGGGAAAGACUUAUCGCCGAAGGAGCAGCCCGCGUCUGAUUAGGUAGUUGGUGGGGUAAAGGCCUACCAAGCCGACGAUCAGUAGCUGGUCUGAGAGGAUGAUCAGCCACACUGGAACUGAGACACGGCCCCGACUCCUCCGGGAGUCAGCAGUGGGGAAUAUUGGACAAGGGGCGCAAGCGUGAUCCAGCCAUGCCGCGUGAGUGAUGAAGGCCUUCGGGUUGUAAAGCUCUUUCGCACACGACGAUGAUGACGGUAGUGUGAGAAGAAGCCCCGGCUAACAUCGUGCCAGCCGCCGCGGUAA
rnacentral:rRNA from 1 species